rnacentral:rRNA from 1 species
GGAAUUGCUAGUAAUGGCAGGUCAGCAUACUGCCGUGAAUACGUUCCCGGGCCUUGUACACACCGCCCGUCACACCAUGAGAGUUGGGAAUACCCGAAGCCUGUGAGCUAACUUAUAGAGGCAGCAGUCGAAGGUAGAAUCAAUGAUUGGGGGUGAAGUCGUAACAAGGUAAC